UGCGAACGGCUCCGCAAACCAGUUGUAAACAUAGGCAUGUCCCGCUCUUGGCUGGCCCUUUCGGGGGCUGGCCUUGGGCAAUUAUAUGGAUACCCGUGGUAAUUCUGAGGCUAAUACAUGACAAUGCUACCCUGCCGUUGGGCUGCCGGUGCCUCUCGGGGUGCUGGUGGUCUGGCGGCGGGGGACGCGCGAGACUAGGCUGGGUGAUUCGGGAAAGAACGCGCGUUCAGACCACCGUGAAGGGCCUUGUGUAGUUGGGGUGCGGCUUGCCGUGCUCCGCUUGCUUUGCCUGGUGGCUCUUGCUUCGUGCUUCUGACCUAUCAACUAGAUGGCAGCAUACGGGACAUGCCAUGGUGACAACGGGUACAGAGGAUCAGGGUUCGAUCCUGGAGAGUGGGCCUGAGAGAUUGCUCAUACUUCUAAGGAAGGCAGCAGGCG
rnacentral:rRNA from 1 species